UGGAGACCUGAGAAAGUUUUGCAGUUGUUUUAGUACUGCAGUAACUGGUUUUGUCCUCCAAGACUAAGCCCUAAACACAGUCUGUUCUGUCUGUAUAUCUUUUUCAGACCACAAGCUGUGUUCAUGAA